AGAGUUUGAUCAUGGCUCAGGAUGAACGCUAGCUACAGGCUUAACACAUGCAAGUCGAGGGGCAGCAUGGUCUUAGCUUGCUAAGGCUGAUGGCGACCGGCGCACGGGUGAGUAACACGUAUCCAACCUGCCGUCUACUCUUGGCCAGCCUUCUGAAAGGAAGAUUAAUCCAGGAUGGGAUCAUGAGUUCACAUGUCCGCAUGAUUAAGGUAUUUUCCGGUAGACGAUGGGGAUGCGUUCCAUUAGGUAGUAGGCGGGGUAACGCCCACCUAGUCAACGAUGGAUAGGGGUUCUGAGAGGAGGUCCCCANAUUGGAACUGAGACACGGUCCAAACUCCGUACGGGAGGCA
rnacentral:rRNA from 1 species